rnacentral:rRNA from 1 species
UACGGAGGGAGCUAGCGUUGUUCGGAAUUACUGGGCGUAAAGCGCGCGUAGGCGGCUUUGUAAGUUAGAGGUGAAAGCCCAGGGCUCAACCCUGGAAUUGCCUUUAAGACUGCAUCGCUUGAACAUCGGAGAGGUAAGUGGAAUUCCGAGUGUAGAGGUGAAAUUCGUAGAUAUUCGGAAGAACACCAGUGGCGAAGGCGACUUACUGGACGAUUGUUGACGCUGAGGUGCGAAAGCGUGGGGGAGCAAACAGG